rnacentral:rRNA from 1 species
ACGUUGGCUGUGUGCCUAGGUAUGCUAGUCGGACGAUCCCUUUGAAUUACUUGAGACUUCGGUUGAUUGUUUUUCUUUUUGGGAUAGUGGCAAACGGGUGAGUAACAUGUGGAUUAUCUGCCCUGAAGACGGGAAUAGCUCAUCGAAAGAUGGGGUAAUACUCGAUAGCCUUACAUUCUUUUAGUAUGUAAGUAAAGCUUUUGCGCUUCAGGAGGAGUCCGCAUCCUAUCAGCUUGUUGGUGAGGUAAUGGCUCACCAAGGCUAAGACGGGUAGCUGGCGUGAGAGCGCGGUCAGCCACCAUGGGAACUGAGACACGGUCCAUACUCCUACGGGAGGCAGCAAUUAGGAAUCUUGCGCAAUGGGGGCAACCCUGACGCAGCGACACAGUGUGGAGGAGGAAGGUCUUCGGAUUGUAAACUCCUUUUAUGAGGGAAGAAUAGAUGACGGUACCUCAUGAAUAAGCACCUGCUAACUACGUGCCAGAAGCAUCGGUGAUGCGUAGGGUGCGAACGUUAUCCGGAUUUAUUGGGCGUAUAGAGAAGCGUAGGUGUUUUUGUAAGUCUUUAGUUAAAUACCACGGCUCAACCGUGGGGAAGCUUCGGAAACUACAGAAAUUGAGACAGGAAUGGGCGAAUGGAAUUCCCAGUGGAGCGGUGAAAUGCGUUGAUAUUGGGAGGAACAUCAGUGGCGAAGGCGAUUCGCUGGUCCUUGUCUGACACUAAGGCUCGAAAGCGUGGGGAGCGAAACGGAUUAGAUACCCGUGUAGUCCACGCCGUAAACAAUGGGACGCUAGGG